rnacentral:rRNA from 1 species
CCUACGGGAGGCAUCAGUGAGGAAUAUUGGUCAAUGGUCGGGAGCCUGAACCAGCCAAGCCGCGUGAGGGAUGAAGGUACAGAGUAUCGUAAACCUCUUUUGUCAGGGAACAAAGGCGGGGACGUGUCCCCUGAUGAGUGUACCUGAAGAAAAAGCAUCGGCUAACUCCGUGCCAGCAGCCGCGGUAAUACGGAGGAUGCGAGCGUUAUCCGGAUUUAUUGGGUUUAAAGGGUGCGUAGGCGGUCUGUAAAGUCAGCGGUAAAAGCCCGGGGCUCAACCCCGGCCCGCCGUUGAAACUGGCGGUCUCGAGUUGGAGAGAAGUAUGCGGAAUGCGCGGUGUAGCGGUGAAAUGCAUAGAUAUCGCGCAGAACUCCGAUUGCGAAGGCAGCAUGCCGGCUCCACACUGACGCUGAGGCACGAAAGCGUGGGUAUCGAACAGGAUUAGAUACCCUGGUAGUC